rnacentral:rRNA from 1 species
GACGAACGCUGGCGGCGUGCUUAACACAUGCAAGUCGAGCGGAAAGGCCCUUUCGGGGGUACUCGAGCGGCGAACGGGUGAGUAACACGUGAGUAAUCUGCCCUUGGCUUCGGGAUAACUACCGGAAACGGUGGCUAAUACCGGAUAUGACACCUUCUGGCAUCGGGGGGUGUGGAAAGUUUUUUCGGCCAGGGAUGUGCUCGCGGCCUAUCAGCUUGUUGGUGGGGUAAUGGCCUACCAAGGCUUCGACGGGUAGCCGGCCUGAGAGGGUGACCGGCCACACUGGGACUGAGACACGGCCCAGACUCCUACGGGAUGCAGCAGUGGGGAAUAUUGGACAAUGGGCGGAAGCCUGAUCCAGCAACGCCGCGUGA